UACGAAGGGGGCUAGCGUUGUUCGGAAUUACUGGGCGUAAAGCGCACGUAGGCGGAUACUUAAGUCAGGGGUGAAAUCCCGGGGCUCAACCCCGGAACUGCCUUUGAUACUGGGUAUCUCGAGUCCGGAAGAGGUGAGUGGAAUUCCGAGUGUAGAGGUGAAAUUCGUAGAUAUUCGCAAGAACACCAGUGGCGAAGGCGGCUCACUGGCCCGGAACUGACGCUGAGGUGCGAAAGCGUGGGGAGCAAACAGG
rnacentral:rRNA from 1 species